UCUUAGACAGCGACGGAAGGUGGUGCAUACGUGCUCUAAGGUGGCUUGCUGAGUAUCGGCGUGUUUCUUCCUUCAGAUUUACGUAUGUGUAUACGCACUGACUAGUAUUGAAGACGUGUGCAGGUAGUGAGAUGGCCACAUAGACUUUCAGCAGCAGAGAUGGAGACACCCACAGAUAACAACUCAAGAUGGAAUAAGGGCUAGCCAAGAUAGCAGCAGCAUAUAGCAUGGAAGCUCAAAUCACUUGCAACUCAGCAUAAUGAUCUUCAUAUGUUGGACUGUCUGCAAACUGUAAGCAAGUCAUUAGUACAGCAAAUUCCUGACAAGAACUAGUUUGCCUCUACUGCACCACAAGCAACCAAUCCUGCAUCUAAAAUAAUCAGCUGACCACAUCAAAUACUAAGGGAUUUCCUACGAAGACUUUGUCUCAACCAUUGCCCUCCAAGCAUUGUCUCCACUUCCAAUGGCUACUCUUGCUUAAUUGACAUUUUCUAAUAAUAUCUAAUGUUCCCUAAACACUAUGCACCCAUUCAAUUUGUGGUUGCCUUCUUAGUCUGUGUGUAUGUUGUGAGAUGAUAGUGCAUGGCAUGAAUGCAUAAAUUCUUCACUUUCUCAUAAACUAAACCUCUAAACCUUGGUUUUAAACGGCCUUUUCUCAUGUUAUACACAUUAGAGAAGGUGGCCCACAAAAGAUUCCUGAACCUUCCACCACCUGAAUCUCAUGCACUUUAUAUUUCUUGAAAAAAUCAUGUCCAACUGGCUAAUAACCCCUUCAUUAAUAGAAAGUGACCGUCUUUCAAGAUCUUACUCUCUUCAUAUAUUCUGGCACUUAGCCUAGACUGAAGAUAUUUAAUGUAAAAGAUGGGGAAAGUUGAGCAUCAUUGAAGAAGAGGGAAUAGUUGUCUGGAAAGUUUUGUCGAGUUGAUAGAUGAGGAAUUGAGUUUUGAAGCAUUGAACAAUAUUAAAUUUGCUCUGCUUGAAUCAGAAAUUUAAGAGCUGUCAGAAGUCAGACAUUCUAUGGCUUCCCUACAUUAUCUGUCUACUUCCUGAAGGGUUGGUCAUUUCUGAAAAGUCAAACACAAGUGAUUUAGAACGGCUGGGGAACCUUUGAUCAAAGGCCGCUUUUAUAUUUUUAACACAGGUGGUAGGCCAUAAAAAAUACUAGUAUUUUUAAUUUUUAACUUCCUUUACUAUUCUUAGUUUGACAGUAAAUCGGAUUUACUUUCAAACUGAGAAUUUAAAUGACAAAUUUUUAUAAAUUUUGAUAUUUCACAAUAGUUACAAGUAAAAUGAAACUGAUUCCAAUUGAACAGCUUCUCAAGGAUGAGGUGAAUAAUCAGCUGUGCAAACAAAUGAGUGACUAUGUGGUGUUUGUUAGAGUCCAAGUUCCAAGACUUGGCAUAUGUGUACUGAUCCUCUUUUGACCAUGUCACACCAGCCUACCAGAGGGCCCAUGAGAAAGUUAUACGUGUCGAGGGUGUGGGUUUUGGUGGUUUGCUGGUACAUUAAUUUUCCUUUGCUAGGUGAGAUGCCAGACAAACAAACUCAUAAACUGUCAUUACUAUAAGUAUUAUUAUUAGUUUACUACUAUUAAUUUACUACUAAGUGUAUUUAAGAUUAUGAUGCUACCACAUAAACUGUCAUUACUAUAAGUAUUAUUAAUUUACUACCAAGUGUAUUUAAGAUUAUGGUGCUACCACAUUCUGAGUUCAUUGAUAACUAAGUUAAUUUAAGUGACAUGUAACCGAGUACAUAUGAAUAGAUUAUAUAUAUUAUUCAUUCAACCACACUCUGAGUUCAUUGAUAAUUAAGGUAAUUUGACAUGUUACCCAGUACAUAAUACGAAUAUAUUGUAUAUUAUUCAUUCAUGACUAACAGUUUUAUAAAGUAGAUUUCUGAGUGGCGUUGUGGGCCUGAUCAAAUGUCUGCGGACCUUAUCCUCAUGGUUUAGAUCACUGAUGAAUAAUAGGAAAAGUGGGGAACAGGACAAGAACCCAUAGUAACAACGAUUUAGGAGAAAAGUGGCCAUCUACCAAAGCAACAAUAGAACAUUCAGAAAAAGCAUGAAAAGAAGUUGUAGAGAGAAGGUAGAAGCU
rnacentral:misc_RNA from 1 species